UAAGAGCUUUAAUGCCCUUUUUUUUUUUUUUAGAAUAAAUCCAUCGGGUUCCGUCACAUGUGCGCUCCUAUCUGUGGGAUCAUAAACCCCAACGUCCCGUUUAUGGCCUGGCACUGCCACACGAACAAAGGGACAGCAGGAACCCGGCCCAGGGGGGGAGGUGGCUGCUCUUUACCAGGAUCAUUCUUGUGUGUCCCAGUGGCUGCUGGGCUCCAGAACAUGAGCCAUUAUGUUUUACUGCCUCAGUUGUCUUGGAGGAGCUGUGUCUGUUCAGGAGGAGUUUGGAGAAGAUCAGGAGGGAAAAGUGUCCUGGUUGAGGCCACCGUGGCCCUGCUGUGCCUCCAGCUGGGGUUUCAUUGCCUUUUCCACAGUGCUUUGUGGAAGAAAAUCACCAAGUCCACUUUAAACUCUAUCAAAAAGAGCCUCCCAUCUCCAAGAGUAAUGAUUUUUCAUGGAAUCAUUUAUAGAAUAAUAGAACCAUUUAGGUUGGAAGAGAUCUUUGAGAUCCUUGAGUCCAGCUGGGAUUUUUGGGGUGUUUCUCCUGUGCAAUGGGAUCAUUGUUCCUGGAGCAGAGGGGCUUGAUGUUACACCAGGUGGAUGAAUGGAUUUUUUACGUGGAUUUGCUGUGUGACAUCUUUUUAAUGGGGAUGGUGCUGGCGAGUGUUGUUUUCCCUGUGGAAUCCACAUCUGGCUGGACAAGGAAGGAAAGGACUGAGGAAAAACCUUUGUCCUUCUCUCCCAGCAGUCACAGAAAACUAAUUUUGUCCAGGCAAGUUCAUUUUGAGCUGGUGUUUUGUCACAGGAGGAGCUGAUUGUAAGUGGAGUUGCCAAAUUCGUCAGAAUUCUUUGUGGAUAAUGUAAAUACAUUUCUAGUGAGUAAUGA